ACCAACGGUAGCUUAGUUGGUAGAGCAACAGGGCGUAAACCUGAGAGACCUGGGUUCGUAUCCCAGUCGAGGUU